rnacentral:rRNA from 1 species
UACAGAGGGGGCAAGCGUUAUUCGGAAUUAUUGGGCGUAAAGGGCGCGUAGGCGGCUUUGCAAGUGACGGGUGAAAUCCCUCGGCUUAACCGAGGAACUGCCUGUCAAACUGCAUGGCUUGAGACCGGGAGAGGUGAGUGGAAUUCCCAGUGUAGCGGUGAAAUGCGUAGAUAUUGGGAGGAACACCAGUGGCGAAGGCGGCUCACUGGACCGGUACUGGCGCUGAUGCGCGAAAGCGUGGGGAGCAAACAGG